rnacentral:piRNA from 1 species
UAGUAAACGAGCGAAAGUAAA